rnacentral:tRNA from 1 species
GGUCCGUUGGUCCAAGGGGUUAAGACACCGCCUUUUCACGGCGGAACACGGGUUCGAAUCCCGUACGGACUA